rnacentral:rRNA from 1 species
ACGCUCGACACCUGGGAGGCAGCAGUGGGGAAUAUUGCACAAUGGGGGAAACCCUGAUGCAGCGACGCCGCGUAAAGGAAGAAGUAUUUCGGUAUGUAAACUUCUAUCAGCAGGGAAGAAGAUGACGGUACCUGAGUAAGAAGCACCGGCUAAAUACGUGCCAGCAGCCGCGGUAAUCUGAGCGGGCUGGCAAGGC